CAGAAUCCUUCCAUGGACAUAACUGAUCUGCUCUGAUUUCAGGAAGCUAAGUAGGGUUGGAUCUGGCUAAUAUUGGGAUGGGAGACCAGAAGAAUAUCAGGGAAGAAUUCUGU
rnacentral:rRNA from 1 species